UGGAAAACUGGGGAUAAUACCCUAUAGACUAUGGAUGCUGGAAUGCUCUGUAGCCGAAAGGUCCGCCGCCGUAGGAUGGGUCUGCGGCCGAUUAGGUUGUUGUUGGGGUAACGGCCCAACAAGCCUGUAAUCGGUACGGGUUGUGGGAGCAAGAGCCCGGAGAUGGAUUCUGAGACACGAAUCCAGGCCCUACGGGGCGCAGCAGGCGCGAAAACUUUACAAUGCGGGAAACCGUGAUAAGGGAACUCUGAGUGCCCGUUAAAUCGGGCUGUCCAUCAGUUUAAAAAACUGGUGAAGAAAGGGCCGGGCAAGACCGGUGCCAGCCGCCGCGUAACA
rnacentral:rRNA from 1 species